AAAAAUAAAGAAAAAUAUUUUCUAAAGAUUAAAGUUUUUUGGCAGCGGAAGUAAAUUAAUGAAGUUAUUCAAAGAAAUGGAAAAUAUCCAGCUAAUGUUAAUUAAGUUCUGAAGUUUGCUCCUCGUGCUGUUCGGGCGUGUGUACGUGCGUGCCAAAAAGAAGUAAAAAUUAAUGAAUUCGCUUUAUGUGGUGGUACAAAGUUCGAAGUUUAUUAAAGUCAAUCCCGAAGUAAAAGUCAACUAACCGCAAUGGAGAACCACAAGUGAGAAGGCUAAAAGUCAGCAAGUAAACAACUGAGCAAAUUAACUUGAUUUAUUAUUUCAAUUUGGAGUAGUUGUUGUUGUUGGUGUUGGAAAGAAAUCACUGAAUUGAAUAAUUCAAAACAAAAAAAAAAAUAUUCUCUGACACCGUAGUUUUAGUCUCACAGAGCUACAGUUAUUGUCCCGAAUAUAUCACACACAUACUACUACAUUAUUGGAUUACUAUAUGGCCAUGCUUUAAGAGCCAUAGCUGGCGCACACAUAUACUCGGUUUAAACCAUCCAACCACCCACACAGCUACAAAUAUAUUCCACAUCUAUCAUAGCAGCAGCGGCAUUUCAAUUCUUGUGUUUUUGUUUUCCAUGGACCCGCAAUAAACAAUGUAACGAGACAUCGCGAAAUUCCGUCGGAAGUCCCUAGACAACCCAACAAAGUUUAGAUUUCCAUUUUUCCUUGCACAAAAUUGACUUUAUGCCACCGAACAAUUACUACGUCGUUCAUCAGAGCAUUCCUCGUUGUGUGAAUUCCCAGGAAAAUUCAAGGAUAUAGGAGAGGCAGACACACAGCCUGGAAACGGAAGUUGGAACAUUAAGAGUAUCAUCGGCAUCAAUAGCAGACACAUUGUGAACGGCCGAAGUUUCAAAACGUAUCCUUCUUUCAAUGACGAAAUAGUUUGAUGUUAAUCAAUGGGUUUUGCUAACAAGGCAACAAGGACAAUAGAUUCACCACCACAACCACUACCAUUGUCGCCAUUAUGGCGCCCAACGUAUUCUGUAAAUUGUGCGAUAACAAGAAAUGUAACAGCUACAACAAAACUAUCCUUAGUCUUUAAUAUAUUCGAUGAUUUUUGUUAAAUUAAUGCCCGCAGAAUUAGUUGCUGUGUCGGAAGAAGUGCCAGCAGGACAAGGCUUUAGUUAAUCAACAUUUGUACUGAGUUUCUUUUGAAAAGAACGAAAAUCAAAGAAGACAUUAUUGUUAGCCAACCAAAAACAAAAAAA